rnacentral:lncRNA from 1 species
AUGUCACUUAAAGAAACAUUGCAGAUGCUAUGCCACUUAAAGAAACACGGCAGAUGCUAUGUCACGAAAGAAACACUGCAGAUGCUAUGCUACUUAAAGAAACCUGCAGAUGCUAUGCCACUUAAAGAAACACUGCAGAUGCUAUGCCACUUAAAGAAACACUGCAGAUGCUAUGCUACAUAAAGAAACACUGCAGAUGCUAUGCCACUUAAAUAGACAUUGCAGAUGCUAUGUCACUUAAAGAAACAUUGCAGAUGCUAUGUCACUUAAAGAAACAUUACAGAUGCUAUGUCACUUAAAGAAACAUUACAGAUGCUAUGUCACUUAAAGAAACAUUGCAGAUGCUAUGUCACUUAAAGAAACAUUGCAGAUGCUAUGUCACUUAAAGAAACAUUACAGAUGCUAUGUCACUUAAAGAAACAUUGCAGAUGCUAUGUCACUUAAAGAAACAUUACAGAUGCUAUGCCACUUAAAGAAACAUUGCAGAUGCUAUGUCACUUAAAGAAACAUUACAGAUGCUAUGCCACUUAAAGAAACAUUACAGAUGCUAUGCCACAACCCUAAACUCACUCACUGAUGUUUCGUUUAGCAUUCAGAAACUUUAAUUGAAAUCGUUCCACAAGCACUGUUUGUAGAAAUGAGUUUACGCCGAACAAGUGUAGUUGAACACGUCUUCCCUGCAUCCUUUAAACCAAUGAGUAGUGAGCCCUCCCUUGUCGAAGUGUUCUAUAGUCAUGUGAUGAUGUUCUAUUAAAGGCUAUCUGUCUUAAAGGGAAAUUCCACCCCAAAACGAUAUUUUGGUAUUUGUUUCAUUCGUCCAUAUAGCCCCCAAAUGUAUAUACAGUACCAGUCAAAAGUUUGGAGACACCUACAGUACUCAUUCCAGGGUUUUUCUUUAUUUGUACUAUUUUCUACUUUGUAGAGCAAUAGUGAAGACAUCAAAACGAUGAAAUAACACAUAUGGAAUCAUGUAGUAAACAAAAAAGUGUUAAUCAAAUCAAAAUACCCUUUGACUUGAUGACAACUUUGCACACUCUUGGCAUUCUCUCAACCAGCUUCACCUGGAAUACUUUUCCAACGGUCUUGGAGGAGUUCCCACAUAUGCUGAGCACUUGAGCACUUGUUGGCUGCUUUUCCUUCACUCCACUGUCCAACUCAUCCCAAACCAUCUCAAUUGGGUUGAGGUCAGGUGAUUGUGGUGGCCAGCACUCCAUCACUCUCCUUCUUGGUCAAAUAGCCCUUGCACAGCCUGGAGGUGUGUUGGGUCAUUGUCCUGUUGAAAAACAAAUGAUAGUCCCACUAAGUGCAAAGCAGAUGGGAUGGCGUAUCGCUGCUGUGGUAGCCAUGUUGGUUAAGUGUGCCUUGAAUUCUAAAUAAAUCACUGACAGUGUCACCAGCAAAGCACCUCCAC